AAAGAGACUGGGGGCACAAGAAGCUGGGACACAUGACCCCAGCUGGUCAGAAGGACAUUCCAUACCAGAUGGCAUCUUGCUGAGAGAUAAAACUGGAGGGAGUUGGCUGGAGGUGGCCCCCUGCUUGGGGACUCGCUGGGCAUUGUUUCAGUGGAUGGAGAACAUGAGGAUUGCAGUGGGAAUGUGGAUUGCCAGGCCCUGUUCUCUGCCCUCACAGCACCUCCAUUUUCUCCACAGAUCUUAGAAGGCAAGAACUGACAGAAGAGCUUGUGCACAGAGAGCACUAUAUCAUGGAACCGUGCAGAAAGGCAGCUCCAGCCCAGGCAGAUUGCAAUUGGAAUCUGCAGGCAAUGACUUUAUUACAAGCCAGCAUCAAGUUGCUCUGAUGGCAGCCAGUGAACAAUUGAUUAGUGAGAGCUGUGGUGGGAGUUUGUGAGGUAAUUACUAAAGUUGUGGCUGCAGAAUCUUCGGUUUUCUAUCUCCCCUGCAGUGAGAACCAGCUUGAAGAGAGGGCAGUCCCCAGGUGUUGGUGAUGGCAUUUACAAAUCUCCCUUUCCUAUACGGCAGAGGCUGUGCUAUGCAGACUCUGUGUACAGAUCUGUGUGGAACAGUGAUGCCAUGAGAAGGCCUGAUUUGACCAGGUGAGCAAAAUCGGCUGCUCCUGUGCCAGCAGCUUCAGGCAUGCCCAGGCUGACCACAGCUCCCAGUACCUUUCCUGGCAGACCCUUAGGGCUGUCCCUGGCCAGUGCCUGGCCCAUGGCAGCGAGCACACUUCUGAGUAAUGCCCGAGCAUGGUGAGAGCCCUGUGGGUGGUUUGUUUGCAGCAGCCCUGCUUGGGAGGAUGAGGCAAUUUAUUAGCAUAGAUGUAAGCCAGUGAAUGCCAGUUGGCCCCAGCACCUGGGAGCAUUCCUGGGCACAUCUGAUUUAUUAUUAUAGCGACAGGCUUUGUGAAUCCCACUGUGGGAUACCUUGGCAGCGUGCAUAGUACUAUGUGGCCUGGAUCUAUUUGAAUAUGAAAGCAUCUUUUUGCCUUUAAAAAUAUGAGUACCUGCUGUUAUAUCAGGGUGGGGAGGAGUCAGUGUACCCUUUACUCGUCUGGCUGAUGAGGACAUUCCCUGCUAUGAGAGCACCUGGCAGGAGAUGCCUCAGCUGUGCACCGCUCUGCUGCAUAAUGGAUGCAGAACAAGUUUUAGGCAAACUGAAAGCAAAAUGGACACUACUUGUAACCCAGCUGAGGUGCCAGGAAGCCUGGUGCUGUUCAGAGUACUGGGGUGGGGGGUAAAUGGUACAAUAUUUACAAGGGUAAUGCAAAGAGCUUUCAUUGGCAUGGGCUUAGAGCACCAUCCGUUUGCAGCCCUGGCACAGGCAACUAAACAGCUCAUCUGUCAUCACUGGGAGCAGUCCAGAAGAGGUAGGCAUUGCGAGGGCUUUGUGUGCCUGGAGCUUUGUGUGGCAAGCGGCAGUGCACAGUGGAACGCAGUAAGGAAAUGCAAUGCUGCAUUACUUUGUCACAUCCGUGCCAGCUGGCAACUGCUUCAUGCAAUUUUGACAUCUAUUAAAAGUUUGGGUGAGCCUGCCUGUUUCUUGUGUUUCCUUACGUAUUUUUCUGCCAGCAGAGUGUGGGACUAUGGUCUGCAUUAAAGCAAGUAAAGGAUGUUUAAAAAGAAUGAAACGACUUUGUUAAGAACUAAGUAGACAGCAAGCAAAAUUUGCAGAUGUCAGCGAAGUGCCUGUGAUGCUGUCUGUGGAGAGGAUCCCAGCCCCGUGCAGUGAUGUGGUUACAUGUUACCAGUAUUUCUGCUACUUCCCUCGCUGUUGCAGUGGGCAGAGCAGGAAGAGGCCCAAGCCCCUGCCAGUGCCCGUGUCCUGAUGGAUCCCUGCCCACCACAGCAUUUUCCAGGGGGUUUCUCAGAUUGGAGUGGAAUAGUAAAGAAAUGUAGCAGAGCUGGAGACAUCUGCUGCACAGCCCCCUCUGCUCAUGCUUCCUCUCCUUUCAGUUACACUUGUGGUGCUCUGAUGCCACCUUACCCUCUCUAGCCAUCAGCAAUCUGUCUCUGUCUUCUCUAGCUCCUUGUUCACAGAGAUUGCUGAGCUCAGACUCAACCUCUAUAUUCCUGCAGUUUCUUUGUUUUCCUCCUCUCCCUUGGUGGCUGAGGUCCUCUUCCCCAAAGUCCUCAGUGGCUGCUAUAGUCUACGAAAAGUGAAAG